GCCUGGCUGGCUCAGCGGGUAGAGCAUGCAACUCUUGAUCUCAGGGUUGUGAGUUUGAGCCCCACGUUGGGUG
rnacentral:tRNA from 1 species